rnacentral:rRNA from 1 species
AGCAGCCGCGGUAAUACGAAGGGACCUAGCGUAGUUCGGAAUUACUGGGCUUAAAGAGUUCGUAGGUGGUUAAAAAAGUUGGUUGUGAAAUCCCGAAGCUUAACUUCGGAACUGCAAUCAAAACUUUUUAGCUAGAGUAUGAUAGAGGAAAGCAGAAUUUCUAGUGUAGAGGUGAAAUUCGUAGAUAUUAGAAAGAAUACCAAUUGCGAAGGCAGCUUUCUGGAUCAUUACUGACGCUGAGGAACGAAAGCAUGGGUAGCGAAGAGGAUUAGAUACCCUCGUAGUCCAUGCCGUAAACGAUGUGUGUUAGACGUUGGAAAUUUAUUUUCAGUGUCGCAGCGAAAGCAAUAAACACACCGCCUGGGGAGUACGACCGCAAGGUUAAAACUCAAAUGAAUUGACGGGGACCCGCACAAGUAGUGGAGCAUGUGGUUUAAUUCGAAGAUACGCGCAGAACCUUACCAACACUUGACAUGUUCGUCGCGGCUCUAAGAGAUUAGAGCUUUCGGUUCGGCCGGACGAAACACAGGUGCUGCAUGGCUGUCGUCAGCUCGUGUCGUGAGAUGUUGGGUUAAGUCCCGCAACGAGCGCAACCCUCACUUUUAGUUGCCAUCAUUUAGUUGGGCACUCUGAAAGAACUGCCAGUGAUAAGCUGGAGGAAGGUGGGGAUGACGUCAAGUCCUCAUGGCCCUUACGUGUUGGGCUACACACGUGCUACAAUGGCAUUUACAAUAGGAAGCAAGAUGGCGACGUCAAGCAAAUCCUGAAAAGAUGCCUCAGUUCGGAUUGUACUCUGCAACUCGAGUACAUGAAGCUGGAAUUACUAGUAAUCGCGGAUCAGCGCGCCGCGGUGAAUACGUUCCCGGGUCUUGUACACACCGCCCGUCACACCAUGGGAGUUGGUUCUACCUUAAGGCAAGGUUUAAAAUCCUUGACCACGGUAUAGUCAGCGACUGGGGUGAAGUCAUAACAAGGUAGCCG